CCCCCCCCCCCAUCUAAUGCAGUGACAACACCCAAUCCUUUUGUUUACAUUGUACAUAGCAUAGUCAAUCAACUACAAUUUCUUAUUUAUCAUUUUUUUAAAUCAAUUUUGUGUUGCUUUAUUUCUACGGGGUUCCAUGUUGUUAGUACAGGUGUAUAAAUCAAUCAAAAUGUUUAAUUAGUGGUCCAUGCCAGGUGUGUGAUUGGUGUUGUAGUGGCUAAUGUGUGGUCAACUCAGUCCCAUAACUCACAAGAUUGAUUUCAGGCCAUUCUUGUGGGGUCAGUAUUUAAAAAUUCUCACUCAGGACAUAAGGGGACAUUAAUACAUGAAUCUGUGUGUAGGGUGGGUUGGGAAUGUGUACCAUUAAAUCUGUGUGUAGGGUGGGUUGCGAAUGUGUACCAUUGAAUCUGUAUGUAUGGUGGGUUGGGAAUGUGUACCAUUGUGAGGCAGACAUUUCUUGUUGCUGUACUGAGGGAGUGUGUCAUUAUCCUGUUAAAGCUAGACUUAAACAAUUGUAGCUUUGUUAGACUGAUGCAUUGACGUCAUGGCAAUCUAGCAUUUUUUGUGUUACAAAAUAGUUUAAGAAUUCAUUACCAAUGAUCAAGUUUUCAUUCUAAAAAAUGUGUAAUUUUAAUGUCUGCUAUUCAUUAUAACAUUUUACAAUAGUUGUACACAGCAUUGGGUGAGGCUGUUUGAAGUGGGUCUUUUUUUUUUAAUGAUAUUGUGCUUUGAUUAACCAUGAUUGGAACUUGAGUCAUGUGACUUUGUUGUUCUACCACCUGCUGUAGUGGCAAGUGUUUCAGAGAGCUGGGUGGUUUACCCGAUGACUCACCUUGUAGUUUACCUGUCUUCACAAUCCACUGGUGUGAUGUUACCUUGUACUAUAUGCUUUAUUGGGAAAACCCAAUUUUUUAAUGGGGAAAACCCAGUUUUUUAAUGGGGAAACCCUGCAAUAAUUUGAGAAUUCCCUUGCAUUUAUUUAGUCAGCUUAGACUAUCACUCAGCUAAAGUUGUUGUUGACAUAGAAUAAGAUGUAAAACACACUGAUAGAUGUAGCAAUUUCACUAGAUUAAACCAAUGAAAUGUUCUUCACAAUUAACUAGAACAAUAUUAGUCUGUUCAUGAUUGUAUACCAAAGGCUCUAUUAAAAUAAGUUUACAAGUGUGACAGAGUCUGAAUGUUAAAUAUGCUAUUUUUUUUUGUAUAUCCCAGAUAAUUUAUUUGUUAAUACAUUUUUUGUGAUAAAUUUGUGAGCUUGAACUGAUUUGGUCCAGCUGGCUUGGUUUUUAUCUAUUUGAAUAAAAUUGUUUUAGGACAGCUUUUGUCUGUUGAGGUCCAUUUUUUAAAAGUCUAAAUAGAAGUUUUGUAAGAAACAUUUUUUGUGUGUACUUGGUAGAAUUUGACCAGUUUCCAAAGAGAAAAUGUUGGGCCUAAAGCUAUAUGGCUUGGUCAGUAGAUGGUGUGUUGGUGUCAAUAGGUCAUGUGUUGGUGUCAACAGAUGGUGUGUUGGUGUCAACAGAUGAGUGUUGGUGUCAACAGUUUGUGUAUGUCAGCUGCACAUAUUGAUGUAGACAUUGCCUGUACAUAUUCAGUGGUGUGAUGUCAGGGUGGAACUAUACUAGCAUUUAUCCUUAGGCUUGUCUGAUUCCAAAUUUAUCUGGCUUGUGCUUUCCUAGUAAGGUACACGAUGUUAGCCAGUCAUAAUAUGUUUUAUUUAUUCUUUAGUAUUUCCGGAUGAUGAAAACAUAAGCCAAUGUAAUAACUUCUCUUCUGUGAAGUCUUGAAUAAACUGGCUAAGAUGUCAA